AAAAUUUGUAUGAAGUAGAGUAUAAGGAUCAUUGUUCUUUUCCUCUGAUACAGGUGCAUGAAUGCAUGGUAGACACAAGGAUUAUAUGGAAAUAGUAAAGAGAAAUCUUAAGCAGAUAAACGCCUUCAUGUGUAAGCCAGUACCAAUCUAAAAUAUUUAUCCCUCCAUAAAAAAUUAUACAUAUAAAAUCUAUGUUUAGUAGAGUGUCUAGUAAUGUAAUCUAAUAUUUUACUGCACACCUGAUAUUCCAUCAGAAUGAAUACAUAAGUAUAAUUUCAGCCAAGUCAUUCUGGUAACAGUCUUUGGCCCUCUUCAAGGAUUCUGCCUAAGGCCCUCAUUAGAUAAUAAUGGCCCUUCUUCUUCAUGUCCCCAAAACCCAUUUUCUGAGUGCUAGCUAUUUCUCUGGGAGUUAAGAAAUAUGUUUACUGUACAGUAACAAUACACAAUCAGGACUCUUCCCUCCCCCCCCCCCAGCCUUUUCCCCUUACUUGCAAAAAUCUUUGUAGAAGAACAUCUUGCUUAGAAAAAAGACAUUAUGUCCCUGAGAGUUGGAAAAAGUUCAAGUGUUUAGAACAGCAUCCUUGUACAGAGGAGCCUUAUCUUAUUGACCCUGCAUUUCCCUGGGGACCAUCAGAGUACCUCUGAGGACAUAGAAUCUCCUCACAUCUGAUGAACUGCCCCAUUUUGAACAUGAUCAUAGCUGGAUAGAUUUUGUGUUAGAACUUAGAUGUAAGUGACAGAAAAAUCCAACUCAUACUGACUUAAGCAAGGAAUGAAUUUGGGGUCCAUGUGGUUAAAAAUACCCCGAACCAGCCCCUCCCCUUUACCCUUCCCUCUGCCGUUCCUCUCCCCCUUUCCCUCUGCCUUGUCUCAACUCCGUUUUCCUUUUGGAUGUUACCGCCAUACAGUAAUUCCAGAAAUUCCUGAUAAAGGUAAGUUUUUCCUUUUCCCAACAGUUCUAGAAAAGUCCUAAGAUUUGGAGUUCCUGCUCUGGUGCAGUGUGUUAAGAAUCUGACUGCAGUAGCUCAGAUUGCUACAGAGGUGCAGGUUCAGUCCUAGGGCCUGGUACAGUGGGUUAAAAGAUCCAGUGUUGCCACAGCUGCAGCGUAACGUAGAUUGCAGCUGCAGCUCAGAUUCAAUCCCUGGUCCAGGAACCUCCAUAAGCCAUGGGUGCAGCCAUUAAAAAAAGAAGAAGAAGAAAAAAAGAGUCCCCAGAUUUAUUUCAUUGGACCAGUUUGGAGCAUGUGCCCUUCCCGAAGCAAUCAGAGGGGCUACAGGAAUUUGAUUCUCUAGAUCAUUGGCCCAGCCCUGGAGCUAUUACUUUCACUUGGAUAAGAAUGGAAAAGGGGUGAUUCCCCCCUCACAAAAUAUGGGCUAUUUUACUAGUAAAAAAUACAAGGAUGACAGGCAAACAAAAGCAGCUGAUUCCACCAUAAAUACUAAAACAGGUUGGGUUUUCUUUUUUUUCUUUACAACAAAUAAGCAUGUCUAUACCUUUCCCAAGUUCAGCAAUGUUUGUAACCAUUCUUCUUUUUCCAAAAGAAGGAAAGUCUUCACAUAAUAACUAUAGAGAAAAGGGAAACAUGAACAAGAUGAGAGUGCUAGCCAGGCUGACUUCAUGGCAUACCCAGCUGUCCUCUUAAAAUUACAAAGCCAUUAAACAUUCAAGGCUUUGAUAUUUUGGCUCAAAUUAUACAUUUCAACACCUUAUUGUUCAUGUUUGAUGUCAGGGUUAGAAAUAUUAAUGCAAAAAGAACCAUCUGGGAAAAUUUUUUUUUCUUUUUCAUGUGGCUUCAUUAUGGAUAAGCAAAGUGUUCAUUAUUUAAGCAAAAAAAAUGUUUUUAAUAUGGAGCUGCAACAAUGUUUUGAAGAAAGAGUUCUAUCACUGUACUACCCACUCUAGUUCCAGAAAAACAGAAGCAGAUUGCUUUGUACUCAUGAGGAAAGUGUGGAGAUCAUUGCUAGAAAUGCCUUUUAAAAUUAGCCCCAAAUAUUAACCUGUAAAUACAAUUCUUUGUUAUUAAGCUUUGUUAUAGUAUAAGAAAAAAAAAACCCUCAGGAGCUCCCACUGUGGCACAGUGGGUGAAGAAUCCAACUGCAGCAUCUCGGGUCACUGCAAAGGUAUGGGUUCAAUCCCCCAUUAAAGGAGCUGGCAGUUGCUGCAGCUGCAGAGUAAGUCACAGCUGUGGCUUGGAUUCAAUCCCUGGCCUAGGAAUGUCCAUGUACCAUGGGUGUGGCCACUG
rnacentral:lncRNA from 1 species